rnacentral:lncRNA from 1 species
AUAAUAAUCAAAUUAAUUUAUUCUAAAGGAGAUCAAAAACUUCCACACAUUAUGUUGAUGGGUGAAUAAAAAGCUUUAACCAAAGGCAGUAUUUUAAACCGCAUCCAGAGUUCACACAUUCACACAUCCAGAAUUUACGCAACGAAAAGACUGUGUUCAACCCAAAAUAUAAACAAAACUCAUAAUUCCUUAACCAAAUUCUGGGAAUAUAUAAUCAACAAAGCAAACCUCAUGUUCCCAACUUUACAAUCAUCAAUAUUCUGAGCAUAACAUUCUUACUGAAUUAGAAUAACACAUAAACCUGAAUCAGCCAACAUUAAUCUAAUGGUCUCAAAGCUAACCCACAAUAAGUCCAUCAAAAUUCGAAACUCAUUCGUUGCAAAAACUGGUUUUGAAACGUCAACCUUAAAGAAGAAACAUGCUGUUAUGAUUUCCCAAUUCAGAAUAACACUUAA